rfam:Salmo salar isolate Sally breed double haploid chromosome ssa05, whole genome shotgun sequence.
AUUAUAGGCAGUUGUAAGUCGCUCUUGAUAAGAGCGUCUGCUAAAUGACGUAAA